rnacentral:lncRNA from 1 species
UGAUAUCGAGAAUAAAAACGUAAAGAAAACAAUUUACUAAAAUUCACACAGUCUUGGUGUGGCAUUGUUCAAUGACAAUUGCUUAUGUUACUGUGCUGGAAAUCUUGGAACACAGGAGAUUAAUCUGAAAGAACAAUUCAUUAAUAAUGUUAUAUCUAGUGAAAUGUCGCCCCAUGCCUGCUUGGCAAUACUACGUAAUAUAAUAUACUACACCGACAGGAAAACUCAUAGUGUUACCUGCAUGGAUACAUCAUGAAUGGGUACAGGUGAGCACAUAUCUUAUAAAGUGUGGACAUUCAAAAAUGAGAAUGUUUUGAAAUCCCCAAAUGGAAUCGCAAUAGACAACAUUGGCAGUGUAUACGUAUCGGGAGGUGCGUCUUGUAAUGUAGUAGUUAUCUCAAAUAAUGGAUUAUUUCAUAAACAACUUUUAUCUAAAGAAG